CCUACGGGAGGCAGCAGUGGGGAAUAUUGGGCAAUGGAGGAAACUCUGACCCAGCGACGCCGCGUGCGGGAUGAAGGCCUUCGGGUUGUAAACCGCUUUCAGUAGGGAAGAAGCGAAAGUGACGGUACCUACAAAAGAAGCACCGGCUAACUAUGUGCCAGCAGCCGCGGUAAUACAUAGGGUGCAAGCGUUGUCCGGAAUUAUUGGGCGUAAAGAGCUCGUAGGUCGUUUGUUACGUCGGAUGUGAAAACCUGAGGCUCAACCUCAGGCCUGCAUUCGAUACGGGCAAACUAGAGUUUGGUAGGGGAGACUGGAAUUCCUGGUGUAAGCGGUGGAAAUGCGCAGAUAUCAGGAGGAACACCAAUGGCGAAGGCAGGUCUCUGGGCCAAAUACUGACACUGAGGAGCGAAAGUCUGGGGAGCGAACAGGAUUAGAUACCCCUGGUAGUCCAGACCGUAAACGGUGGGCACUAGUUGUGGGAAACCCUUCCACGGUUUCUGCGACGCAGACUACGACAUAAGUAGUCCCGCCCGUCGGGUAGGUACGACGUCGCGAACGAAGUUAAAACGUUAAACGAAACGGAAAGUUAGUAACGGUCGUGUUAGACGUAGCCGAACGGACGACGACGAGGGAGGAGG
rnacentral:rRNA from 1 species